CGGCGAGCGAAAAGAAAAUAGUUCAGCACUAAGUCACUUUGUCUUUAUGGCAAAUGUGAGAUGCAGUGUAUGGAAUGUCAAAUUUCUAGUAUGAGAAAUUAACGAUUUAAGUCCUUCUUAAAUGAGGCCAUUUACCCAAAGAGGGUGCCAGGCCCGUAUAACGUUAAUGAUUACUAGAUGGCAUUUCCAAAGAGUCGUGUUGCUUGAUAGUGCAGCACUAAGUGGGUGGUAAACUCCAUCUAAAACUAAAUAUAACCAUGAGACCGAUAGUAAACAAGUACCGUGAGGGAAAGUUGAAAAGAACUCUGAAUAGAGAGUUAAAUAGUACGUGAAACUGCUUAGAGGUUAAGCCCGAUGAACCUGAAUAUCCAUUAUGGAAAAUUCAUCAUUAUGAUUUUAAUAUUUAUAAUAUUAUAAUAAUGGUGUGCAUUUUUUCUAUAAAGGACAUUGUAAUCUAUUAACAUACAUUAAUUUAUCAUAAGAUCAUUUGCGUAUGUUUAUUCAAAUUAUUUUGCUUGCAAUUUAAUAUCGAAUAAAUGCUUUUGAUUUGAUAAAGUGUUGAUAGAUUUAUUAUAUACAGUGCUUAAAUAUUUAUAUUUUAUAAUAGCAUAUUAAUCAAUGAUUUUUAUGUUCAUUAUAUGCACUUGUAUGAUU
rnacentral:rRNA from 1 species